rnacentral:rRNA from 1 species
GAGCACGUAGGUGGGUUUGUAAGUCAGAUGUGAAAGCCUUCUGUUCAACGGAAGAAUUGCAUCUGAAACUACAGACCUUGAGUGUAGGAGGGGAGAAUGGAACUUCUGGUGGAGCGGUGAAAUGCGUAGAUAUCAGAAGGAACGCCGGCGGCGAAAGCGAUUCUCUGGCCUAUUACUGACACUCAGUGUGCGAAAGCUAGGGGAGCAAACGGGAUUAGAUACCCCGGUAGUCCUAGCUGUAAACGAUGGGCACUAAGUAGAGGGGUUUU